rnacentral:rRNA from 1 species
UAUGUGAUCGUCUCUCGCAUAUCAAUAAGCGGAGGAAAAGAAAAUAACAAUGAUUUCCCUAGUAACGGCGAGUGAAGAGGAAAGAGCUCAAAGUUGGAAACUGUUUGGCUUAGCUAAACCGUAUUGUAAACUGUAGAAACAUUUUCCUGGCACGCCGGAUUAAUAAGUCCUUUGGAACAAGGCAUCAUGGAGGGUGAGAAUCCCGUCUUUGAUCCGAGUAGUUGUCUUUUGUGAUAUGUUUUCAAAGAGUCAGGUUGUUUGGGAAUGCAGUCCAAAAUGGGUGGUAAAUUUCAUCUAAAGCUAAAUAUUGGCGAGAGACCGAUAGCGAACAAGUACCGUGAGGGAAAGAUGAAAAGAACUUUGAAAAGAGAGUUAAACAGUACGUGAAAUUGUCAAAAGGGAAGCGUUUGACACCAGUGUUGUUUUUCUGAAAAUCAAUUAAAGAACUGUUUAUGCUAAGUUGUUUAGACUUUAUCAGCUAACUGUUUAGUUUUGAGCUUUUCUUUAAUGCACUUUUCAGUUAACAAGUCAACAUCAAUUUCUUUUGCUGUAAAAAAGCUUGAGGAAGGUGGCUUGAGAUUCGUCUUAAGUGUUUAUAGCCUCUUGCCUAUGCAGUCGGAGAGAUUGAGGUCUGCAGCGUAGAUCCUUCGGGGCUAAAUGCAUUUGUGCUAAGUUAUAACAUUUUAUAGACAACUUGUUGACUAUGAUUUGUCUUGUAGCUUACUCGCUUAUGUUAUUUUACCUACGCUUAGGAUGUUGAAGUCAUCGUAUCGCGC